UGAACGCUAGCGGCAGGCUUAACACAUGCAAGUCGAGGGGUAUCACGCUUUCGGGCGUGAGAGACCGGCGCACGGGUGCGUAACACGUAUGCAACCUACCUUUUACUGGGGCAUAGCUCAGAGAAAUCUGAAUUAAUUCCCCAUAACACUGCACUUCGGCAUCGGAGAGCAGUUAAAGCUCCGGCGGUAAAAGAUGGGCAUGCGGAACAUUAGCUAGUUGGUGAGGUAAUGGCUCACCAAGGCUACGAUGUUUAGGGGGUCUGAGAGGAUGAUCCCCCACACUGGUACUGAGACACGGACCAGACUCCUACGGGAGGCAGCAGUAGGGAAUAUUGGUCAAUGGACGCAAGUCUGAACCAGCCAUGCCGCGUGCAGGAUGAAUGUCCUAUGGAUUGUAAACUGCUUUUAUAUGGGAAGAAACCCCUGGAUGCGUCCGGGGCUGACGGUACCAUUUGAAUAAGGAUCGGCUAACUUCGU
rnacentral:rRNA from 1 species